UUGAAUUAGUACCGGGGACAACAGCGAUAUUGAUAGCUCCAUAGAGAAUGGCCCCGAUAGAGUUAAAAGGAUUGAAAGCUUAGUUCCAAGAGUUAACAGAUAAAGGUUUUGCUAGACCGAGUUUCUCUCCCUCGGGUGCACUGGUGUUAUUUGUGAAAAUAAAAGAUGGCACGAUGAGAAUGUGUAUUAACUACAUGCAGC
rnacentral:lncRNA from 1 species